rnacentral:rRNA from 1 species
AACGAACGCUGGCGGCAGGCCUAACACAUGCAAGUCGAGCGAUGAAGCACCUUCGGGUGUGGAUUAGCGGCGGACGGGUGAGUAACGCGUGGGAACGUGCCCUGGGGUACGGAACAACCAUUGGAAACGAUGGCUAAUACCGUAUGACGUCUUCGGACCAAAGAUUUAUCGCCCUGGGAUCGGCCCGCGUUGGAUUAGCUAGUUGGUGGGGUAAUGGCCUACCAAGGCUGCGAUCCAUAGCUGGUUUGAGAGGAUGAUCAGCCACGCUGGGACUGAGACACGGCCCAGACUCCUACGGGAGGCAGCAGUGGGGAAUCUUAGACAAUGGGGGCAACCCUGAUCUAGCCAUGCCGCGUGAACGAUGAAGGCCUUAGGGUUGUAAAGUUCUUUCACCGGUGAAGAUAAUGACGGUAGCCGGAGAAGAAGCCCCGGCUAACUCCGUG